UACGUAGGGUGCGAGCGUUAAUCGGAAUUACUGGGCGUAAAGCGUGCGUAGGCGGCUAUGUAAGACAGAUGUGAAAUCCCUGGGCUUAACCUAGGAACUGCAUUUGUGACUGCAUUGCUAGAGUGUGGUAGAGGGGGAUGGAAUUCCGCAUGUAGCAGUGAAAUGCGUAGAUAUGCGGAGGAACACCAAUGGCGAAGGCAAUCUCCUGGACCUGCACUGACGCUCAUGCACGAAAGCGUGGGGAGCAAACAGG
rnacentral:rRNA from 1 species